rnacentral:ncRNA from 1 species
GUGUUGUCUGAAAGGAGAGAAAGCUAGCACUCCCCUUGACAAGGGUGGAAGAGGCUCUCGAGCGAACAACACUGAGACAGUGAAGGCAUUGCUGCCUACUUAAUGGCAUCUGACCAUCAUUUUAA